rnacentral:rRNA from 1 species
CGGCAAAAGCUCAAAUUUGAAAUCUGGCUUUGUAUCAAAGUCCGAGUUGUAAUUUGUAGAGGAAACUUUGGUGCGGCCUUGGUCUAAGUUCCUUGGAACAGAAUGUCAAAGAGGGUGAGAAUCCCGUCUUGGACCGGCGGUAGGGCCCAUGUGAAACUCCUUCGAC